rnacentral:rRNA from 1 species
AUUGAACGCUGGCGGAAUGCUUUACACAUGCAAGUCGAACGGCAGCACGGACUUCGGUCUGGUGGCGAGUGGCGAACGGGUGAGUAAUGUAUCGGAACGUGCCCAGUCGUGGGGGAUAACGUAGUGAAAAUUACGCUAAUACCGCAUACGAUCUAUGGAUGAAAGCGGGGGAUCGCAAGACCUAGCGCGAUUGGAGCGGCCGAUAUCAGAUUAGGUAGUUGGUGGGGUAAAGGCCCACCAAGCCAACGAUCUGUAGCUGGUCUGAGAGGACGACCAGCCACACUGGAACUGAGACACGGUCCAGACUCCUACGGGAGUCAGCAGUGGGGAAUUUUGGACAAUGGGCGAAAGCCUGAUCCAGCCAUUCCGCGUGCAGGAUGAGGGCCCUCGGGUUGUAAACUGCUUUUGUACAGAACGAAAAGGUUUCUACUAAUACUAGGAGCUCAUGACGGUACUGUAAGAAUAAGCACCGGCUAACUACGUGCCAGCAGCCGCCGUAA